rnacentral:rRNA from 1 species
GGCAGCAGUGGGGAAUCUUCGGCAAUGGGCGAAAGCCUGACCGAGCAACGCCGCGUGAAUGAUGAAGGCCUUCGGGUUGUAAAAUUCUGUUAUAAGGGAAGAACGACUUUAGUAGGAAAUAGCUAAAGUGUGACGGUACCUUAUGAGAAAGCCACGGCUAACUACGUGCCAGCAGCCGCGGUAAUACGUAGAUGGCAAGCGUUAUCCGGAAUUAUUGGGCGUAAAGAGCGCGCAGGUGGUUGAUUAAGUCUGAUGUGAAAGCCCACGGCUUAACCGUGGAGGGUCAUUGGAAACUGGUUGACUUGAGUGCAGAAGAGGGAAGUGGAAUUCCAUGUGUAGCGGUGAAAUGCGUAGAGAUAUGGAGGAACACCAGUGGCGAAGGCGGCUUCCUGGUCUGUAACUGACACUGAGGCGCGAAAGCGUGGGGAGCAAACAGGAUUAGAUACCCUGGUAGUCCACGCCGUAAACGAUGAGUACUAGGUGU